CAGGCGUGAGCCACCGCGCCCGGCCUGUUUAAUUUCCUAAUGUUUACUGAGACUCUUCAAGAGUGGGAGAGGGAUAUAAUAUACAGCAUUUCCUCAGUUUAUUUAGCCACUGAAUUUAUUUUUUGUAAGCAUCUCAAGGAACUUGAGCCCAAAUUUUGCAAAACUGCAUGUAAUAUACAAUGUUGCUUUUGUUUGCCUUUUCCAGCUACUGUAAGAGAAUAUUUAAAUUAUUUUAUCUCACUUAGAAACAUUUUUAAAUUGAGAUAUUGAGAACUUGAUUUGCCCAAGGUCAUAAUCAGUUAAUAUUGGAAUCAGAAUGAGAAUCUAGGUCUGGCCACAAUUUCAGGUGUCUUCUUUUAAAGUUAUUUAUUUUUAAACACUUUUUUUUUUUUUGAUACAGGAUCUCACUCUGUCACCCAGGCUGGAGUGCAGUGGCAAGAUCGAAGCUCAUUAUAGCCUCGACCUCCCCAGGCUCAGGAGUCACUCAGAAUCCAGCCACCUUGGAUAUGAGGAAGCAGAGCAACCUCAUGGAGAAACCACAACCUAAAAAUCUUGAAAGGAAAGAGAAAGAACUAACAUUUUCGUGACUGAGAACUGGAUGGUGACAAAUGAGAAAAUAAACACAGUAAAGACAAGUUUGGGGGGGUGACAGAGCAGAGCGAGUUGUGAUCCCCGCUCCGUCACCACGUUCGUUUCGUUCCUCUGGACUACUGAGUUAAUGAUACCGGCAAUCAGCGCAAAGCGAGAUAAUCACCAGCGCACUCUUGGAUCUGUAUACAGGUUUGUAAACUAUGUGGAGGAAACCGACCCAUCGCAGUCUCGGCCGAAGAGGCCGGAGCCGGAGCCAGAGCCAGAGCCUGAGCAGGGUCUGAAAAAAGGACCGGCCGUUCAGGACUAGGCCCUGAACUACAACUUGCUCCUCAGGGGUCCGGGUCGGAAGUGACGACUUCAUUCACUGAGCAGCCAUUUCCGGUUCCCAGUGUGUCCGAAGUUCCUUCUGGGUGUCAGAAAAGACACAAAAACUGACAGGGCGGAACCGCGACACGGUGCCUGAUGAUAUCAAAAGGUCUCACGGCUCCGGAGGGACCCAGUCGCCCACAGCCGCCAGGGGCGCCGCCGGCUCCGAGCCCGUUGUCGAGAGCCGCUCGGCUGCUGGGGUCUGCCCUUCAGUCCUUCCAACUCUCCUCGGACCUAGAGUUCCGGGAUCUCACUGCGAUCUGGGCGAAUUCUUACGUAGAAUUCGAAAGGAUAUGGGGAAGGAAAAAAACAAAAACGGGAACCACUUUGUUUCCGCCCGGUUUCGAACCGGGGACCUUUCGCGUGUGAGGCGAACGUGAUAACCACUACACUACGGAAACCAGGCGGUGGCAGGUUUUCCACAAAUGACUCUGAAAAGUCAGAGGCUCACCACUGUGUCUCUGACCCACGAGAAAAGUACCCGGGCGGGCCACCCACAGCUUCGGGAUCGGGGCGCGCAGGGAAGUAGCCAGCAAAGCAGGGCUCCCUAAUGACAUUGCCCCGCGGUUUUCAAGACUGACUUCAGGAUCAUCUGGGAGAGGUUGAAAGGCACAUGCAGUGUUCACCGCCUUGAACUGAAGAUCACUGAACAUGGCUUUGGUGGAAACCACUGCAGUGAUAUCAGAAAGGAAAAAAGCAAACUUCCCUGACCGGGAAUCGAACCCGGGCCGCGGCGGUGAAAGCGCCGAAUCCUAGCCACUAGACCACCAGGGAGGGCUGGUGACACUGUGGGCAGCACCUUCUGAGAAAAGAUCUUAGGACAGACGCCUCAACCACCUCAGGCACAUGUUAGAAACCUAUAGGAAUGUCUUUUUCUCCCUCUCCCUCUCCCCACGGUCUCCCUCUCCCUCUCUCCACGGUCUCCCUCUGAUGCGGAGCUGAAGCUGGACGGUACUGCUGCCUGAUUCUCCUGCCUCAGCCUGCCGACUGCCUGCGAUUGCAGGCGCGCGCCGCCACGCCUGACUGGUUUUCGUAUUUUUUUGGUGGAGACGGGGUUUCGCUGUGUUGGCCGGGCUGGUCUCCAGCUCCUAACCGCGAGUGAUCCACCAGCCUCGGCAUCCUGAGGUGCCGGGAUUGCAGACGGAGUCUCGUUCACUCCGUGCUCAAUGGUGCCCAGGCUGGAGUGCAGUGGCGUGAUCUCGGCUCGCUACAACCUUCACCUCCCAGCAGCCUGCCUUGGCCUCCCAAAGUGCCGAGAUUGCAGCCUCUGCCCGGCCGCCACCCCGUCUGGGAAGUGAGGAGCGUCUCUGCCCGGCCGCCCAUCGUCUGGGAUGUGAGGAGCCCCUCUGCCUGGCUGCCCAGUCUGGAAAGUGAGGAGCGUCUCUGCCCGGCCGCCCGUCGUCUGGGAUGUGAGGAGCCCCUCUGCCUGGCUGCCCAGUCUGGAAAGUGAGGAGCGUCUCUGCCCGGCCGCCAUCCCAUCUAGGAAGUGAGGAGCGCCUCUUCCCGGCCGCCAUCCCAUCUGGGAAGUGAGGAGAGUCUCUGCCCGGCCGCCCAUCGUCUGAGAUGUGGGGAGCACCUCUGCCCUGCCGCCCCGUCCGGGAUGUGAGGAGCGUCUCUGCCCGGCCGCCCCGUCUGAGAAGUGAGGAGACCCUCUGCCUGGCAACCGCCCCGUCUGAGAAGUGAGGAGCCCCUCCGCCCGGCAACCACCCCGUCUGAGAAGUGAGGAGCCCCUCCGCCCGGCAGCCGCGCCGUCUGAGAAGUGAGAAGCCCCUCCGCCCAGCAGCCACCCCGUCUGGGAAGUGAGGAGCGUCUCUGCCCGGCCGCCCCUACUGGGAAGUGAGGAGCCCCUCUGCCCGGCCAGCCGCUCCGUCCAGGAGGGAGGUGGGGGGGUCAGCCCCCCGCCCGGCCAGCCGCCCCGUCCGGGAGGGAGGUGGGGGGGGUCAGCCCCCCGCCCAGCCAGCCGCCCCGUCCGGGAGGGAGGUGGGGGGGGUCAGCCCCCCACCUGGCCAGCCGCCCCGUCCGGGAGGUGAGGGGCGCCUCUGCCCGGCCGCCCCUACUGGGAAGUGAGGAGCCCCUCUGCCUGGCCGGCCGCCCCGUCCGGGAGGGAGGUGGGGGGGUCAGCCCCCCACCCGGCCAGCCGCCCCGUCCGGGAGGUGAGGGGCGCCUCUGCCCGGCCGCCCCUACUGGGAAGUGAGGAGCCCCUCUGCCCGGCCAGCCGCUCCGUCCAGGAGGGAGGUGGGGGGGUCAGCCCCCGCCCGGCCAGCCGCCCCGUCCGGGAGGGAGGUGGGGGGGUCAGCCCCCCACCCGGCCAGCCGCCCCGUCCGGGAGGUGAGGGGCGCCUCUGCCCGGCCGCCCCUACUGGGAAGUGAGGAGCCCCUCUGCCCGGCCACCACCCCGUCUGGGAGGUGUACCCAACAGCUCAUUGAGAACGGGCCAUGAUGACAAUGGCGGUUUUGUGGAAUAGAAAGGGGGGAAAGGUGGGGAAAAGAUUGAGAAAUCGGAUGGUUGCCGUGUCUGUGUAGAAAGAGGUAGACGUGGGAGACUUUUCAUUUUGUUCUGUACUAAGAAAAAUUCUUCUGCCUUGGGAUGCUGUUGAUCUGUGACCUUACCCCCAACCCUGUGCUAUCUGAAACAUGUGCUGUAUCCACUCAGGGUUGAAUGGAUUAAGGGCGGUGCAAGAUGUGCUUUGUUAAACAGAUGCUUGAAGGCAGCAUGCUCCUUAAGAGUCAUCACCACUCCCUAAUCUCAAGUACCCAGGGACACAAACACUGCGGAAGGCCGCAGGGUCCUCUGCCUAGGAAAACCAGAGACCUUUGUUCACUUGUUUAUCUGCUGACCUUCCCUCCACUAUUGUCCUGUGACCUUGCCAAAUCCCCCUCUGCGAGAAACACCCAAGAAUGAUCAAUUAAAAAAAAAAAAAAAAGAAACCUAUAGGAAUGUCUUUAAGAAUAUUUUGCAAUGAUGUGUAUAGUACUGGAUGCAGUGACUGCUGCCUGGGCCAGAGGGUGGCAGAAGGCUUUAGGGGCAGAAACGUUGGAAGAAAGAUUGUCAUAAGUCAAGCUGGGGAAGAGAAAAAUAUUUCCCAAAUCAUUUUUGUCACGGACUCCCUCUGACAUGGGAGUUUCUCAUCUCCCUUCCUGCCUCCCUCCCUUUUUCUUUCUUCCUCCUAAAAUCUGCAUCUCCUUCACUUAUAUAGUUUCCCCACGGUUGAUUGAGAAAAAAUGUGUCUUUUUGCCCCCCUCCCCAAAGGAUCCUAUUCCUGAUCUCUAAAUAUGCCCCUCACCAGUGCAGAGGGAGGAGCAGUCAGAGCCUGGGAGACUUGCCUACCUGGAGCUGCACCCAUCUUUGAGGCCUUGCUCUGUUUCCUGGAACCUGAAAUGGAUUUACCUAUUCUACACAUUUCAUAGAAAUGAAAUCACAUAAUGUGUCACAUUUUGUCUGGCUUCUCUCACUUGGCAUAAUAUUUUUGGGUUCAUUCAUGUCAUAGUAUGUACUUCAUUUCUUCUUAUGGCUAAAUAACAUUUUAUGUAUAUACCACAUUUCCUUUAUCCAUUCAUCUGUUGAUGGGCAUUUUGGUUGUUUCCACCUUUUGGCUGUUGUGAAUAAUGCUGCUAUGAACAUUUAUGUACAAGCAUUUGUUUGAGCAUCUGUUUUUUAUUUUUUGGGGUUAUCUAUUUAGUAGUGGAAUUACUAAGUCACUUAUAUUCCCACCAGCAUAGGUAAAUCUAUAGGAACAGAAAGCAGAGUAAUGGCUGCCAGGGGCUGGGGAAUGUGGAGUAAUCACAUAAUGAUAUGGGGUUUUACUUUCUUUUGAUGAAAAUGUUUUGGAACUAGAUUGAGAUGGUGGUUGCAUAACCGUGUGAACAUACUUAAUGCCACUGAAUUUGUUUAAGAUGGCUUCAUUUUUCUUCACAUUUCUGCCUAUGCUUUAUAUUUUCUGUUGUUUUAAAAAUUAUAGCCAUCCUAGUGGGUGUGAAGAUACCACUACACAUAAAUUAGAAUGUCUAAAAUUAAAGAGACAGACUAUAUGCAGUGGACUGAAUGUUUGCACACACACCCCAAGUUCAUAUGUUAAAAUUCUAACUCCCAAGGUUAUGAUAUUAUGAGGUGGGGCUUUGGGGAGAUAAUUAGGUCAUGAAGGUGGAGCCUUCAUUAAUAGGAUUAGUGUCCUUAUAAAAGAGACCCUCACCAUGUGAGGCUUCUUAAAAGACUGCUUUCUGUGAGAAAACAGGCCCUCACCAGAAACCACAUGUGCAAGCACCUUGAUCUUGGACCUCCCAACUUCCAGAACCAUGAGAAAUAAUUUUUGUUGCUUAUAAGCCACCCAGUCUAUGGCAUUUUGUUAUAGCACCUGAAUGGACUGAGAGAUCAUACGAAACAAAAAAGAGGACAUGCUGUAUGAUUUCAUUUACAUAAAACUCUAGGCAAUGCCAACUUAUCUAUAUUGACAAA
rnacentral:tRNA from 10 species